UACGUAGGGCGCGAGCGUUGUCCGGAAUCAUUGGGCGUAAAGAGCUCGUAGGCGGCCUGUCGCGAUCUGCUGUGAAAUCCGGGCUCAACCCGGGCCUGCAGUGGAUACGGGCUGGCUAGAGGCAGGCAGGGGAGAACGGAAAUUCCUGGUGUAGCGGUGAAAUGCGCAGAUAUCAGGAGGAACACCGGUGGCGAAGCGGGUCUCUGGCCGAUACUGACGCUGGAGGAAGCGAAAGCGUGGGAGCGA
rnacentral:rRNA from 1 species